GAAAUGCGAUAAGUAAUGUGAAUUGCAGAAUUCAGUGAAUCAUCGAAUCUUUGAACGCACAUUGCGCCCGCCAGUAUUCUGGCGGGCAUGCCUGUUCGAGCGUCAUUUCAACCAUCAAGCCCCCGGGCUUGUGUUGGGGACCUGCGGCUGCCGCAGGCCCCGAAAACCAGUGGCGGGCUCGCUGUCACACCGGGCGUAGUAGAUUUUUCGUCUCGCCCAGGGCGUGCUGCGGGUCCCGGCCGUUAAAAAGCCUCUCUUUUUAACCCAAGGUUGACCUCGGAUCAGGUAGGAAGACCCGCUGAACUUAAGC
rnacentral:misc_RNA from 1 species